UACGAAGGGGGCUAGCGUUGUUCGGAAUUACUGGGCGUAAAGCGCACGUAGGCGGGUUGUUAAGUCAGGGGUGAAAUCCUGGAGCUCAACUCCAGAACUGCCUUUGAUACUGGCAACCUAGAGACUGGAAGAGGUUAGUGGAAUUCCCAGUGUAGAGGUGAAAUUCGUAGAUAUUGGGAAGAACACCAGUGGCGAAGGCGGCUAACUGGUCCAGCACUGACGCUGAGGUGCGAAAGCCAGGGGAGCAAACGGG
rnacentral:rRNA from 1 species